GCGGUUCGUCAAGGGACCCGAGAGCCUUCGUUCGGGAACGAGGAAGUGAGCUGUGAUCCCAGUCCGUUCGGGCGGUGUCCGGUGCCAGGGCCGCGGGCAGCCGUUGGAGGAGGAGAAAUGGUCUGAGUGAUUGUCGGCGCCUGCCAAUAUGUGGCAGCGAGGAUUCGAAGUCUCUGCUGCGGGGGAGAAGAGGAGCCUCCUCAGAUGAAUGCCUCCUGCCCGGUGUCAGGAAAGGUCCAGCAGCCAUGCUCUCUGCAAUGGGGAGCAAAUGCAUGCCCGGCCAGGCCCAUAAGCCCCAGCCUGCAGCAGCCCCCGAGAGCCUGCACUCCGAACCGCAUGGGAACCUGACAGUAGCAGAAGGUGCUGCUGCCAGAGAUUCUCCCCGGGAGACCAAGGAUUGUGUCAAGCCCAGGGUAAUGAAGACCGAUUCAUAAACUCCUUUGCGGGAGAUGAAUAGGGUCUGAGUCCUUCCUGGGUCACAGCAGGAGACAUGAAACUUCGGAAAAGCCUCCCCGGGACACAUUAAAGCUUAACUCCAUGAGA